GACGAACGCUGGCGGCGUGCUUAACACAUGCAAGUCGAGCGGAGCGGCGAACGGGUGAGUAACGCGUGAGUAACUGCCCCCCUCUCUGGGAUAACAGUUGGAAACGGCUGCUAAUACCGGAUAGUGGGGGAUGGCUCGCGUCCUAUCAGCUUGUUGGUGGGGUAGUGGCCUACCGAGGCGACGACGGGUAGCCGGCCUGAGAGGGCGACCGGCCACAAGGGGCUACGAGACGGACCAGACUCCUACGGGGGGCAGCGGGGGGAAAUAUUGCACAGUGGGGGAACCUCUGAUGCAGCGGCGCCGCGUGCGUGAUGACGGCCUUCGGGUUGUAAACCGCUUUCGGCCAUGACGCGGUAGUGGCAGAAGAAGCACCGGCUAACUCCGUGCCAGCAGCCGCGGUAAUAC
rnacentral:rRNA from 1 species